UACGUAGGGGGCAAGCGUUGUCCGGAUUUAUUGGGCGUAAAGAGCGUGUAGGCGGCUUGGAACGUCCGUUGUGAAAACUCGAGGCUCAACCUCGAGACGCCGAUGGAAACCGCCUGGCUAGAGUCCGGAAGAGGAGAGUGGAAUUCCUGGUGUAGCGGUGAAAUGCGCAGAUAUCAGGAAGAACACCCGUGGCUAAGGCGGCUCUCUAGUACGGUACUGACGCUGAGACGCGAAAGCGUGGGGAGCGAACAGG
rnacentral:rRNA from 1 species